GUCGGGAGUCUUGCACAAUGGGGGAAACCCUGAUGCAGCGACGUCGCGUGUGGGAUGAAGUAUUUCGGUAUGUAAACCACUUUUGCGGGGGGCGAAAAAAAUGACGGUACCCCGCGAAUAAGCCCCGGCUAACUACGUGCCAGCAGCCGCGGUAAUACGUAGGGGGCGAGCGUUGCUCGGAUUGACUGGGCGUAAAGCGCGCGUAGGCGGUCCAUUAAGUGUGCGGUGAAAUUCGGAGGCUCAACCUCCGUCCCGCCGCGCAAACUGAUGGUCUUGAGAUUGGGAGGGGGAUGCGGAAUUCCUGGUGUAGCGGUGAAAUGCAUUGAUAUCAGGAGGAACACCGGCGGCGAAAGCGGCAUCCUGGCUUAUAUCUGACGCUGAGGCGCGAAAGCUAGGGCAGCGAACGGGAUUAGAAACCCGUGUAGUCC
rnacentral:rRNA from 1 species